UCACGUGACAUGGCCGUUUUGAGCCACACUUCGGAUCAGCGUUUCAAAACGCUGCGCUUCAGAAACUCGAAACAAGCGUAGAAACGUCCGUGUCGACCGUCCCAUCCUAACUACAGAGAGUUCUUCAUCCGUCUUCCCCUCUUCUCCAGUUCUUCAUUCUGCAUCUUCUCUCAGCUCACUAAAGUUCUUCAUUCUGCAUCAUCUCUCAGCUCACUAAAGGUGAAUCGUCAUAACGAUGCUACUCUCCCCUGCACUCAGAUGUGUUCUGGUCUGGUCACAUGGACUGAGUUCCAUAAACAACUUGACA